rnacentral:rRNA from 1 species
GAUGAACGCUGACAGAAUGCUUAACACAUCAGCAAUUGAUUGGUGGCGGACGGGUGAGUAACGCGUAAAGAACUUGCCUCACAGCUAGGGACAACAUUUGGAAACGAAUGCUAAUACCAUAUACUGUGAGAGAGCUUUGCGUCCCAUUAGCUAGUUGGAGAGGUAACGGCUCACCAAGGCGAUGAUGGGUAGCCGGCCUGGGAGGGUGAUCGGCCACAAGCGGCCUGGGACACGGCCCGUGCUGAUACGGGGAGAAGCGGUGGAAAAUAGUUGAAGAUGGACCAAUGUAUGAUCCAGGCAUUCUGGGUGUACAGUGAAUUUGUCGGAAUGUAAAGUGCUUUCAGUUUGGAAGCGGUACCAACAGAAGAAGUGACGGCUAAAUACGUGCCAGCAGCCGCGGUAAUUC